rnacentral:lncRNA from 1 species
CGCUGACAUCACAAAGACAGGACCCCUGAGGGACGGAUGAAAGGAAAUCAAGGAAGAUUUUCAGAGGGCAGGUGGGGGGAGGCUGGGGACCUUCCUGUGGGGGCACAAAUCUUGUCCUGUCACUGGAGGAUGCACACAGCUCAUGGAGACCACGUCAACCACCGGCCUAAGGAAAGCAGCGGGAAAGCUGUGAGUUGAAGCCAGAGAUGAAUCCAUGCUCAACCUGUGUGUGGCAGACUCCUAAGUACUUGCUAGGGAGGGUCCUCAAAACCAGCUCCAGGUCCUCAAAAUUAGUGUACAAGCUGUGGACACCACAGAGCAAAGCCACUGCUCAGAGAAAGCACACAUCCUGGUUGCUAUGUCUUCCAUGCACGGGGCCCUCACUAUGGACCAGACACUCCUAAGGGCCAUGCACCCUGUACGAUAUCUGAUCCCCCAUCUACCUUCCCUUUACAGAAAGUGUGACGCGGCUUAAGCAGCUUGUCUGAGUUUGCACAGCUGGCAAAUGGCUGAGCCAUGACUCACACCCAGGUCCAUCCACCGCCAAAGCUCCAGAUCUCUGGCAUCCUUCUAAGGUCAGAAAGGGAAAGAAAUCCCUAAUAAGGAGCCUGUGUGACGGCGUGCCCCCCUCCACUUUCCCACCCCUGCCAAGGACCCGUUUGAAGGCUGUUCACGCCAGUCACUGCAAUCACCAUUGAGCACAGAGAUGACAGUUCCAGCAAGCACUGACCUUCCAGCCCACUCUGCGGAGGAGAAGACUGAGGGGCAGAGAGGCUGUUGAUUUGCUGCAGUUGACUCUGACCCUAAUUUCCCGGCGCUGACUCAAACUCAUCAGGAACACUGCUUUCACUGAGUGUAUGAAGUGGUUUCUCCAUCCGUGUGGCUUUACCUGAACUCACACCGGUCCCACGGCCCAGGUGUGGAGCCGAGCACUCCCCUCUGCCUCCUCCCUGGACUGCAGGACCUGUGUCUCGCUUUAUGAAAGAGAUGCCAUUUGGGGAAGACUCGCAUUGUCGGGAGCGCUGUGGACGCUCCAGAAGGAGAUCAACACGAUGAUGACGAUGCCGGGUGGAGGGAAUGUGCACUUCUCGGGAGGAGGAGCCAAAAGCAUUUUGCUGACCUCGGUGCAGAUCAACCCUGCAACAAGGUGCAGAAGAGGCACCAAAGGGGCUUUGUAGCCAGCAACAUGCCAGAUCCAUGCACCUUGUUGAUGCAGCCGACUCUGCAGGGGUGCAGGAGGUGAGGACUCACACAGGGGUGCGGGAGGUGAGGACCCACGCAGGGGCGCAGGAGGUGAGGACCCACGCAGGGGUGCAGGAGGGAUCACUGGAUUCAAAAGGCGCUGAGAAGCAUUUUCUCCUCCCGUCUUUUGGAGGUGUUUGUGAAGAUCUGAUAUUAACUCCUCUUCAGAUGUUUGGUAGAAUUCAGCAGUGAAGCUGUCUGCGGGGCAGAUGCCUAUGAAAGGCGCCCUGGUGUGUUCGAGGCACGAUGAGGAGGUCGGUGUCCCCCGGGACAGAGAGGGCAGCAGGUGGUGGGCAGCAUGCCUUAUGCAGGGCCCAGCAGGGUGAGGAGAGUGAAGGGUGCCAUGUGGGGGAAGUGACAGGGCCCGGCUGUGUAGCAAGGAAGCCCUCUGGCCCUUGCCCUGUGGUGUAAAGGCUUUCACGGGAAAGGAACAGAGGCGAGAGGUCAGGUGCCACCGGUGCCAUCCGCUCUUACCUCAUUGCACACAUGAGCUCAUCAGGAUGGGCUCUCGAUUCUCUGGAGGAGUCCAGGGUCGAGUCCAGGAAUCAGCCCGAGGUCAACUUGGAGAAAGACUGUGUGUCUAGCGUCUGCCUCCCUCCCUCGCAGCCUCCUACUCACCUGGCCUCCACCGCCCACCCAGCACCCCUGGGGACUGUCCCCAUCCCCCCAGGGACUCCAGAGGGAAUGUGUUUUGUGCCGUGUGGAAAACAAGCCAUGCUCACUGCACACCACGACAGUCCCUUCAAGCUGUCAGAGUCCCUGCAUGUGGAGUGAAAAGGGGGAAAAAAGACAAUUUACAAUUGCAAAUUGGAACCCCUCUCUCGGAGUGGAGUGAUAAUCCAGCUAGGGAGACAGACGGUGAGGAAGUGCUCCAGGAACAUGUUACAACACAUCACUGCCUAGCAGAGACGAGAGGCUCCAGGAAGGACCUGGUGCCUGCCAUUCCAACCUUGAGGGGCUCCUGGAGGGACGCUGAGGACAAGGCGGCUGUCCCAUCACCUCACUCUUGUCUCUGCCCUCACCUCUCCCCACCGUGCAGGGCUCAGGACUACGGGCGCCCAGACACAAAGGCCCAGAGCCACAGAACAGUGAACUCCACACUGUGCAGCUGUUGGCGGGAGGGGCGGGGAGAGAGACCAGAGUCCCAUUUCUGCUGCCUUUUAAAUAAAAGACAAGGAGGAUGGCGAGGAGGAGGUCAAAACUCACUGCAGUCUAUACCGCGGCACAGAUCCCGACUCAGGGUGGGGGCAUGUGGGAGGGACAGAGGGAGGGGGAAAACACAAACAAAGAGGGAGGAGGAGGCCCCUCCGCUUCAUGCAAUCGGGAACAGGUGUGCGGGAACCCUGGGGUGUCUGGCGUCUGGCAUGGCAGGCUCCCAUCCUGGGUUCCGCCAAUGCCGCCGGCGAGGGCCCGCUCUCUCCCCAAAUGCUGCUCUUUUCAGAGGGAAAAAAAGGCAUCAUUCCAAAGAUAGGGUAGACGCUGAAUGAACAAAUGUUUUUAAACACCCAUGUUGUCAUUAUUUCUUCCAGAAGUUGAUUCAUUUACGUGGCGAUCUGAGAGCCUGUCACUCACUGAGGCCAGAGUGGACCCUCAGAGUCAGGCACUGGUUCAGGGACCAGGCCCUGAGGUGCGGGGAUAGACGGAGCCUGACAAAGGCCAAGACACAGUGGUCUGGGUCCAGGCUGGGGACAGGAGUGGCGGGGCAGCGGAGGACAAGGAGACAGCCAGGCAGACCCCAAAGCCUGGACCGGGCUGGUCUCGGGGACGUGCGGGUGUGGAGGGAAAGAACGUUCCCUGCAGACAGAACGUAGGAUGGGCAGCACACGGGACAGCUCGUGGUUCAGCCAGGCUGCAAGGACUCCAGAAGGUUCUAUGGCUGAGUCCUUACUGCAGACUGGAAAUCUUCAAUGAGCCGCUAACAAAAAGUGUCAGCAAACAAUCAAAACCAAAACACAUGUGUAUGGAUGCAGUGGGGCGAGGCAAGGGACAUUGAGCUGGUGGAAAAUGAAGAAAGGAGAGGGAGAGCCAUGGGGCUGCUGAGCCUGGACCGGCCCAUUCCCGCUGGGCUUCAAGGCUGUGGGAGCAUUGGUGUCCUGGCCUGGAAUCGGUGAGCACAAAAGCACCAAAGAUCUGAAAGGUUCUCAGGAUCAAAAGCCCCUUUGUGAACUGUUCAAUAUUUUCAGCAGAAAUCCAGUAAAUGUCAGAGGUUUUUUGGGGUUUUUUUGUUUGUUUGUUUAGGCACCACCUGUUUCUCCCUAUGGGAAAAGAAAAUGAUAACUACUGCUAAAAAAUGAAAAUUUAAAAACCCCUAAAAGAUCAUCUGAGGUGCAUGUGAAGCUGUUCUGGGCCAUGCCUGAAUGUGAACAGAGCCAGCCACUUCGCCAUGCAGGGAAAGCCUUGGAAGGGAAAAGCGAAGCCCAGGCUGCCCGGCAGCUACAGCUCUGGGCGGCGUGUUCCUCACCCUCCUCUCCCACCAGUGACUGCCUCGGAGGGCAGACCUCAACUCUUCCCGAAGGCUGAGUCCGAGAGGCCCCCGCGCUGAGGGCGUAGCAGCCCACUGGACCUCACCCCUUGGCACCCCUGCCCUCAGGGCACAGGAGUGACUUGAAGCUAUGGCUGGCUCAGGGCCCUAGAGGAAGUCACAUCUGGUCAUUGAGCACACAGGGCAGGUGUCGGGACAGCGCUGUGUUUGGCACUCACUCACUCAUUCAUCCAUGUAUUCAUCUGUGGGUUGUGAAAUUAACUUCGCAAAUAUUUACAGAGAGCUUUCCAGGGUUCUUCAAAGGGAAGAAAUAAAGACGGUAGCAGAGUUCCUGUUUAAGCUUCGCUCUCAUUGCGUCCUGGCGUCACGGGGGGCCUCAGGGUGACUUGGCAAAGUGAGCUCCCACCUCCUCCAACCGAAAAACACCAGCAGGCAGGAUCGCACGGCCAAGGCGGUGAGUCCCGCUCCACUAAGGCAGAUCUUGAAAAGUGCCCCCAUCUCUGUUGGUUUCCUGAAGCCACAAACUGGGCAGCUUCAACAACAGAAACUUAUUCUCUCCUCGUCCCGGAGGCCAGAAGUCCAAGAUGAAGGUGUGGACAGGGCUAGUUCUUUCUGAGGCCUCUCCCCUUGACUCCCAGAUGGCUUUUUUCACUGUCACAUGGCCUCUGUGUGUGCUUGCGCAUGCCUGUCUCCAAACCUCCCCUUCUUAGAAGGACACCAGUCCUAUGAGAUUAGGGCCCAUCUGAAUGACUUCAUGUCAACUUAAUUCUGUCAAGACCCUAUCCCCAAAUAAGGUCGCACUCACAGGUUCUGGGGGUAAGGACUUCAGCAUGUGGAUUUGGUAAGGGGGUACACAAUUCAGCCCAUAACAAUCUCUGAGCCUUCAUCUUCUAAUUAAAAAAAAAAAAAAAAAAAAAAAAAAAAAAGGCCAGGCACAGUGGCUCACACCCAUAAUCCCAGCACUUUGGAAGGCUGAGGCCAGCGGAUCAUUUGAGGUCAAGAGUUCAAGACUAGCCUGGCCAACAUCUUGAAACCCUGUCUCUACUAAAAAUACAAAAAAAAAAAAAAUAGCAGGGCAUGGCGGCAUAUGACUCUAUAGUCCCAGCUACCUGGGAGGCUGAGGCAGGAGAAUUGUUUGAACCCAGGAGGUUGCAGUGAGCUGAGAUCGAGCCACUGCACUCCAGCCUGGGUGAUAGAGCAAGACUCUAUCUCAAAAAGAGAGAGAGAGAGACAGGCCAGGCGUGUUGGCUCACGCCCGUAAUCCCAGCACUUCAGGAGGUUGAGGCAGGCAGAUCACUUGAACCCAGGAGUUUGAGACCAACCUGGGCAACAUGGUGAAACCCUAUCUCUACAAAAAAAAUACAUAAAUUAGCCAGGCGUGGUGGCUCAUGCCUGUAGUCCUAGCUGCUCGGGAGGCUGAGGUGAGAGGAUCACUUGAGCCCCAGAGAUGGAGGCUGCAGUGAGCUGAUAGUGCCACUGUACUCCAGGCUGGGUGAUAGUGACACCCUGUCUCAAAAAAAAAAAAAAAGAGAGAGAGAGAUAGCACCUGCCCCAACUCUCUCCCAGAGCAGACCCACUGGAUUGGGCCCAAAGGGUGCCCUGUGAGCUUCAGAGGGCUGUGCUGUAGGCGCCACCCACUUUCCUCUCAAGUACAGGCAGCAAGAGAGACAGGGACUCUCACCUCCCAGUGGCCCUCAGAAAAUCAGAGGUCCCGGGCAGGAUGUUGGCAUGUGGUCCACUGGCUCCUUUAAGAAAAGCCAGGUAUCCUCAGAGACCCGCACAUAAGGUCAGUACUCUCUCAGCAGACCAAUCCAUUUCUCCCCACUAAGUAGCAUCUGAUGGCGUUAGAUGCUAAGACUCUCUCUUCAGAAGUAAUAAAAAAUAAAAAUAAAAAUAAAAAAGGCAGUCCCUUAGUGGGAGGGUGUUUGGCAUUUCAUCUGAAUUCCACAAUGAAUAAUUUAUAUGAAAAUUUUAUCGGAGCCCAGCUUUCCACAAUAAACGUUCCCUGAGAACACACGCAAAUGCUUCUGCAGCCAUCUCUCUCUCUGCUGGAUUGGGCUGACGGCCCAAAUCAGAUCUGAGUUGCUGCAUCACUUAUUUACAAAAAAUAUCAUAAUCUUACUUUUAUGUGCAUUUUUCCCAGCAUCCGUGGGUGACAAGUUUGAGAGGCACAGGCAGCAGCGGCCGCUGCUUCUGUUGGAUCCAGGAGGGAAGGGAGGUUCUGAGCUUUGGAGCGGGAAGUGAGGAGCCUCAGCUGUCCGCACCCUUUUGCCUGCAACACAACAAUUAGGAGAGGGACUAGGAGGAAAGGAGCCACCUGGUUUCUGGGGCAUAGAAGCCCUAUGCAGCCACGUGUCCCGAGCAGAGUGAGGUGGGGAGGGGGCCAGAAGGAGACCUCAGUUAUUCAGCGUCAGGAGGGGGGGUCCAGAGUGUGGCUUGGGGACAGGGAGACCCAGCUUGAACCCUCCUCCUAGCUAGGUUAUGUGGCUUCUCUGAGUCCUUGACCUUAUUUGGAUAAUGGAAAAAAGAGAACCCACCUUUCAGGACUGUCCUGGGAAUGUACUGACCUGUUGUGGGCAGCGUGGUCAUCACACCAACCUUCACAUCCAACAAAUGCUUGCAGAACUGACAGGCACAUGGCACGAGCACGCCGCUAACCAGGACUGUGCUUUCUGAUAUUGCUGUUUCCAUGGUGGCAGGGAGAGGGCUCCAGCCCAGCUGCAGCGUCCAGAGGCACAGCCCCCGCCUCCUGCAUUCGCUGCCCAGGGGUUCACGUGUCCUCAGCUUAAUGUCUUCUUAAUAUUUUAUACACUUUCUCCUUUGUGAAUUCAUCUCUUUUCAUGGAGGAAUUGCCUGUGUGUGCCCAGUGGGAGCUUGAAGGCAUCAGUCAUCGUCACAUCCUCCUGAGGAUUUCUCAGUCAGCUGCUCUAGGCAGGUCCUGAGGGAGGGGAUGGAGGAGACCCCAGAACCUGGCGCUGCCCUUCCUGUCCCAGCCAGGUGGGUGUCCUGGUUUAGGGCUGCCAGGGACAUGGCCUGUCCCAGGGACACAGGCGUCAGCACCGGCUCUGUUGCUCACCAGCUGUUUGACUUGGAGCAAGUUUCUUAACUUCUCUACGCCUGUUUCCUUAUCUCUAAACUGAAGUGAUCAUGAUCCCCUCCCCAAGAGAAGUCGGGAGGCUCCGGGAUGGGACGGUGCACACGCAGCCUUCACAUCGUGCUGAGGCAGCACCAAGCAUGCACCCCAGAAAUGCCAGUUGUCUUGUGCAGCUAGUCCUGCAGUCCUCCCAGUCUGCAGGAGCAGGAAGGGAGCCUGGUCUGGGAGCUGCCCGUUGCCCACAGUGACGUGCUGGAGGACCCAGGACAAGGCCUGGCUCUCCACCCGCUGCACCGUCCACCUCUGCCUGGUUGACAGCUUCGCCAGCCAUUCUGUUUGCCUUCUCCACUCCCUCCUUCCCUAUAGGAACCAGUUCUGGGUUUGGCACCCAAAACCAAAAAGAUUGGCCCCUUCUCUGCGCUGCCCAUGGACUUGGGAGGCUGAGCACAUCUCUCACUCUGGACGGAUCCCAAUUAGCCAAUCACAGUAUGUCAUCCUCCUUGCCAGGGAUUAUUUCAGCCAAUCAGCACACAGACUCCCUCUGGUGACUCUAAUAGGUCCAGGAGCAGGCACAUGCCCUAGGCUGGCCAAUCAGAGAGGUGAGAAGGACUUUCACUCCACCUGUCCUUCUCCCACCAGCUGUGAAUGAGCAAGCUCCUCUCAUUGCAGCAGGCAGGCGGCCAUCCUAAAGCCGUGAGGGAGGGGGCCUCAGGACAAGGGGAGGCAGAGUCAAAGGAAGGGAGAUGCAGCCCUGAUCACAUGGUGCCUGCAGCCCACCUUGCCUCAGAACCUGUGCUCACAUGAGAUAAUAGAUCUCUGUGGUUAAGCUAGUUCAUGUUGGACCUUCUGCUACUAACUCCAGAGAAAUGCCCCCACAUGUAAAGUUAGAGGGUCUCCACUGUGGCCAGACCUCUAUGACCCCUUCAUAUGUCCAACCCUGGGAGAAAUUCAAGUCAAUGGAAGACCACACAAUGGGAUAAGGAAGUAAAAAGUUAAUGACUAAAUUAAGGUUAUCACCAGAAGUUUAAGCUUCUUGAGAAGGGUCACAUCUGUUUUUGAAGACCCACAGAAAGUACUGUCAAAUUCCAUUCAAAGACAGCCCUCGGUGUCCUGGAAUGGCCCCUGAAAAAAGCCUCCUGGAGCUUCCUAUUGCAGCAUGACACCUGCCCACCAAUAGGGCAGGACAGCGGUGUGGCCAAGAGCCCCACUGACCAGGGCUUGAGUGGCGAUUAUACCACUAACUAGCUCCAUGGCCUCUGCAAAACUCAGGGACCUCAUGUGGAAAAUGGUGUCAUAAUAUCACCAGCUUAUGCAAAUCAAUGCGAGGAUUCUACAGAUAAAAAAAAUGAAGUUCUUAGCACUGCAUCUGGCAUGUUGGGAGUGCUCAGUAAAUGUUAGUGUUAUUUUCCUGACAUUUUCACCCUGAUUAAAUGAUUAGGCAGAGACUAAUGCUUCUGGCCAAGUGUAGUAACAGAGAUUGGAUGUACCCUCCCAACCAACCAAAACAACAACAAAAAAAAGUAUGAAGCAAUGGUUUUCAGGCCAUGAGACACCAGGCAGCAAAGGACAGACAUUCCUGAGAGGAGGAAAACUAGCAAGGUGAGCCCUAACAUUCCCCAAGCUUCUCCCAUCGGGUGAGCUUCCAGGCUGCGGUGCAGGGAUGGGGAACCCAGGUUGAGACCAAUGGACUCCCCGAGUGGAGGAGACAGAGCCGAGUCCAGGGAAGCCAAGGCAGGAAGGUUCACAGGACACAACAGGAGAGAGCUGCACAGAGAGCUCUGGAGACAUGCAGAGGGUCCCCUCCAGGCACUCAGCAAAGCAACAAUUAGUGCAUGUAGGCAGGGAAACGACUCAAGGCUGGGCAAAGAAGCACCCAAAAAGACUGGAGGAAGCAGCUCCCCGUGUUCACACAGGGUGGGUUGUUACUGCUCCUACCAGCCAGACGGGAAAAUCUUAGAAUUCACAUGGCAUCGGGUAAACUACUCAGAAGGGUCUUGCCUCCGUCAUGGAAAUAAUUAUCCCUAGACCAAACACUGAUUUGAAAUUUUUAAAAACAAGCUCUGAAUAGAUCAAAAUGUUCCCAAGGAACUUAACUGCAUCCCCGAACAAAGCUCAAGAAUACUUUAGAAAUGAUCACAACAACAGCAAAAAUCUAGCAACCAACAAUAUAAAAUGUCAAUGUCGGCCGGACAUGGUGGCUCAUGCCUGUAAUCCCAGCAUUUUGGGAGGCCGAGGCAGGCGGAUCACUUGAGGCCAGGAGUUCAAGACCAGACCUGGCCAAUGUGGUGAAACCCCGUCUCUACUAAAAAUACCAAAGUUAGCCGGGCCUGGUGGCACACACCUGUAAUUCGAGCUAUUCAGGAGGCUGAGGCAGAGAAUCACUUGAACCUGGGAGACAGAGGCUGCAGUGAGCUGAGAUUGCACCACUGCACUCCAGCCUGGGCCACAGAGCAAGACUCCAUCUCAAAAAAUAAAUAGAUAAAUAAAAUGUCAAUGUCUCACAUCCAAUCAAAACAGUCUACGCAUGCAAAGGAGCAUGAAAACAUGACCCAUGGGAAGAAGAAAGAUCAAUCAAAACUGACUCAGAAUGGACAUAGAUGCUAGAAUUGGCAGACAAGAACGUUUAAAACGUUAUUACAACUUUGGCCAGGCAGGGUGGCUCACACCUGUAAUCCCAGCACUUUGGGAGGCCAAGGCGGGUGGAUCACCUGAGAUCGGGUGUUCAAGACCAGCCUGACCAACAUGGAGAAACCCCAUCUCUACUAAAAAUACAAAAUUAGCCAGGCAUGGUGGCACAUGCCUUUAAUCCCAGCUACUUGGGAGGCUGAAGCAGGAGAAUCACUUGAACCUGGGAGGUGGAGGUUGCAGUGAGCUGAGAUUGCACCACUGCA